GGGAGCAGCAGGCCAGAAUAUUCAGGUCGGCACUGAGCCCCGGUGUUGACUCCGCCAUAAGCCCUCCCCCAGUCUCUUUUCCAAGUCUUCCCAGUGCCACCCGGCCCCACUAUCAGUGAAGGGAGCCUCUCCACGUAGCCCAGGGACCAGGCAGGGAUCAGUGCACAUCAGGGCUGGUGUUAAUUGUGCAGGGGAGGGAGGAAAGUAGUUUAAGAGGAAGGGCUAAGCAGUCCAACUCUCUGAGUUCAAAUCCUGUUUUAGUCAGCUCAGGCAGCCAUAUCAAAAUGCCACAGCCUGGGAGGCUUAAACAACAGAAAUGUAUUUCUCUCAGUUCUAGAGGAUGGGAAGACUGAGCUCAAGGUGUCGGCAAGGUUAUCAAAGACAUGCCCUUCUGUCUUGCUCCUUGGAUUACUGUUUCUGGAGGAUGCUACCACCAUGCUAUGAGGGCACUCGAGCAGCCCUGUGGAGAAGACAUGUUGCUGAGGAUACCCAGGCCUCCCACCAACUUGCCAGCUAUGGAAGGGAGCCAUCUUGGAAGUGGAUCCUCCAGCUCCAGUCAAGCCUUAAUAUAAACUGAACUGCAGCCCCAGCCAACACCUUCCCUACAACCUCCUCAGAGACAGUGAGCUGGAGCCACCCUACUCUGCAAUUCCUGACCCUCAGAAACUGUGUGAGAUAAUAAAUGUUUAUUAUUGUCAUAA